UUACUUGCACUUGGAUUCUUGGCACUUCUGGAAGAAAAAAAAAAAGAUCUUGAGAAGAUUAAAAGUAUUGCAGACCACAGAGAGGAGGACAGUCAAGGAGGAAAGGUGGGAAACAACAGUGUGAGGGACUCAUGGAGGAAACGGAUACCAACUUUUACUGGGAUGUGAUUACUUCAGAGUGGACUGGAAGGAGUAUUGGUACAUGGUCCCCAAAUUUAACCACCAUUGGAACACUCUAGAUUUGAUUUUAGUAACUGUUCUUCCUGCAGUAGCACUGGUUAUCAUAGUUGUUGUAAUAUUUUACUGCGUCUACUACUGUAACAGUGAAAAAGCUGGGAACCAGACAAGUCCUUCAUACCGUGAAGCACAACAUAACCUCGCAUUUGCUGCUGAAAUGGCCGGUAACUUGGGGCACAUUUAUCAGCAGUCGCCAAGGGGUGACUGGGUUGGACAGAUUCCAAAAGCUGUACUGAGAAGACAAGACUUUGAUGAUGUCCCAACCCCAUGUCAAUUAGAGAAUUACAGUCCCAAGCAUCCUCAGCCAUUAAGGAGACCAGAUCCAGCAACAGACCAUUUUUCUAACCAGCGACCUCAAUAUGAGAAAUUUGGCUAUCCAAGCAAUAAUUUGCCUUAUGCAGGUUAUGCAGAGGGGAGACAGUAUCAGAAAUACUAA
rnacentral:lncRNA from 1 species